UACGUAGGGAGCAAGCGUUGUCCGGAAUCAUUGGGCGUAAAGCGCGCGUAGGUGGCUUUCGUAAGUCCGUUGUGAAAGUCAAAGGCUCAACCUUUGAAAGCCGAUGGAUACUGCGGAGCUAGAGUACGGGAAGAGGCGAGUGGAAUUCCUGGUGUAGCGGUGGAAUGCGCAGAUAUCAGGAGGAACACCGGUGGCGAAGGCGGGUCUCUGGGCCGAAACUGACGCUGAGGAGCGAAAGCGUGGGGAGCAAACAG
rnacentral:rRNA from 1 species